UAUUGUCCAGCUGAUUACUAUCAAUAUCUGUAAUGUUUUCAACUACUUGUAAAUCGUGAGAAAAUUUCCAUUCAAAACAUUGACACGGGGCAGUGCAGUCUCCUGUCAAUGACGUUAAUAUCCAUGUGACCCUUUGUCACCACCUUUACUGACGUAACCCACAUGAGAACACUGGUCGAGCUCAAAAAAAUAAAAUGGCGGCCAAGGAAGCGGCUGGAGCACAAAUUUAGUGAAAAUAAACGUAUAUUUUCACUUUUUAAGCAUUUUAAUUUCAUUUCUAGCGAGAAAUUAGUAUUGUAGUUUUCAAAUUUGUGAUUAGUUAUCACAAAGGCGCUCUCUGUUUUUAUUUCAAACACGCUGCCUUUGAAGUGCGUCGGAAAGCCUUUCUCUGAGCGGCCUUCAGGCCUCCGAGUCCGAAGUCAUGUCCUCAUGAGGCAGCGAGGCCACAAGUCCUCACUGCCUUGAGCUUUCGGACGCACACAGUGUUAGACAAAUGCGGAACUAUGCGCUUGCUUAUGGACUAAUGGAUAUCUCUGUACCAUCUGCCGCUGGUUGUGUCAGCUCCUGUAAACGUACGGGCCAACCAAACGACCCAAGAAGAGUUUGGAACAAAACGAGGGAGGAUCAAUUUGGUGUUGCAUUAUCUGGAUAGAGAGAACUUCAACAACAACAUUUAACUAGACCGAGAUUCUGAUCCUGCUUGUGUUUUACGCGAUGGACGAUAUGCACAUCAAAGGUAUUGUGAGAUUCUGAUCCUGCUUGUGUUUUACGCGAUGGGUUUCACAAUGCCUGAAACAGUUGUGGAUGCAAUAACAGCAGCACUCCCAAAGCUGGAUGAAGAUCACCUAAAAUCCUUGCUUGAGCGACUGCUUUUGGUUGUUGGAGUAGAAGAAGUUGCAGAUCUAAUUUAUGUUUAGGAGGAUGUCAUUUAGGACAUACUGACACCCCUACAGACCCGCAAACUAAUAGAUUUCUUUCAUAGAAGAGGUUUGUAAUAUUUUGUAAAAUCCAAUAUAAGAUUUAAAAUCAAUUAGCAGCAUAUUUUAUGCACUUUAUUCACUGUUAUGUACAUACAACCACAAAGCUCAAGCAAUCCAAUUAACAUCAAAGUGGUACCUAAUUGUUACUGCUAUGUGUGAUGAUUAAUGGUUAUUAAUGAUGAAUACAAACAGUGAUGACAUCAGCAUAACAGAUUUUUAGGGCAUGGUUUUAAGUUGACAACAUGUAAAUAGUUGUUUAGUAAAAAAACUAUCUACUUUGUUAUUUUGUGGCUAUUAUGUGGCUUACACAUCCUUCUUUCAGAACCUAGGAUGAAGAAUCUGUUAGUUAUGUAGACCUAUGAUAUUCCCAAUUGUUGUUCUGCCAGUGUUGUAAAGAAUUUUGGUUGUUAUGCUGUAUAUCUCAAGAGCCAAAACAAUUGUGUUUAAGAUAUAUGUAUGAUUUGGGAAAAUGUGCUCUUUAACAUGUA